rnacentral:rRNA from 1 species
AUUGAACGCUGGCGGCAGGCCUAACACAUGCAAGUCGAACGGUAACAGGAAGCAGCUUGCUGCUUCGCUGACGAGUGGCGGACGGGUGAGUAAUGUCUGGGAAGCUGCCUGAUGGAGGGGGAUAACUACUGGAAACGGUAGCUAAUACCGCAUAAUGUCGCAAGACCAAAGAGGGGGACCUUCGGGCCUCUUGCCAUCGGAUGUGCCCAGAUGGGAUUAGCUUGUUGGUGGGGUAACGGCUCACCAAGGCGACGAUCCCUAGCUGGUCUGAGAGGAUGACCAGCCACACUGGAACUGAGACACGGUCCAGACUCCUACGGGAGGCAGCAGUGGGGAAUAUUGCACAAUGGGCGCAAGCCUGAUGCAGCCAUGCCGCGUGUAUGAAGAAGGCCUUCGGGUUGUAAAGUACUUUCAGCGGGGAGGAAGGGAGUAAAGUUAAUACCUUUGCUCAUUGACGUUACCCGCAGAAGAAGCACCGGCUAACUCCGUGCCAGCAGCCGCGGUAAUACGGAGGGUGCAAGCGUUAAUCGGAAUUACUGGGCGUAAAGCGCACGCAGGCGGUUUGUUAAGUCAGAUGUGAAAUCCCCGGGCUCAACCUGGGAACUGCAUCUGAUACUGGCAAGCUUGAGUCCCGUAGAGGGGGGUAGAAUUCCAGGUGUAGCGGUGAAAUGCGUAGAGAUCUGGAGGAAUACCGGUGGCGAAGGCGGCCCCCUGGACGAAGACUGACGCUCAGGUGCGAAGGCGUGGGGAGCAAACAGG